CGCAGGCGACACCACUUCGACACUUGCUAGGCUGAUCAAAUUUUUUGUGUAAACAAUGGCAGCAGUUCAUCCAAAUUCUGUAAUUUAUUUACAAAAAAACCCUUUCACAAGGCUUUCGCUGGAAGAAAUAAAAAAGAUAAAGGAUCUCGGACCGGACCAACCCGAUUUACAAAUCCAGCAGCAGGCCAGUGACAGAGGACGAAGCUACACACGAAGCUUCACCCGCGCUUGUUAUGAGAAACGGAGGUGGCUGGCUGGAUGUGAUGUUAGCAAUUCUCUUUUUUGUUUUCCCUGUCUUUUAUUUCAAAGUGUCGGCACUGAAGUUUUGUGGACAACGACGGGGAAACUCUCUCCACUCCAUUGGUGAGCAAAGCAGUGGUUCUCGUCCAACAAAGAGGCGCCGGGCGCUCAGUUCGGAAGACCGUGAAAGGAUUGCAGCAGAGGGGGACAGGUUUGAUGAGUACAAGGAUACCUUUCCUGAAGAUGCAUUGAGCAGCACCAUGAAAGCGUACCCGAUGCUCAGUGGAAGCAAGCUGAAGACGGAGCUCAGUCUCAUCUACAGCAAGGAAGAGUUCAGAGCCUGCCGUGGUGCUGUGGACCUAUUCCAG